ACACAUGCAAGUCGAACGAGCGAGAGAGAGCUUGCUUUCUCGAGCGAGUGGCGAACGGGUGAGUAACGCGUGAGGAACCUGCCUCAAAGAGGGGGACAACAGUUGGAAACGACUGCUAAUACCGCAUAAGCCCACAGGUCGGCAUCGACCAGAGGGAAAAGGAGCAAUCCGCUUUGAGAUGGCCUCGCGUCCGAUUAGCUAGUUGGUGAGGUAAUGGCCCACCAAGGCAACGAUCGGUAGCCGGACUGAGAGGUUGAACGGCCACAUUGGGACUGAGACACGGCCCAGACUCCUACGGGAGGCAGCAGUGGGGAAUAUUGCACAAUGGGGGAAACCCUGAUGCAGCGACGCCGCGUGGAGGAAGAAGGUCUUCGGAUUGUAAACUCCUGUUGUUGAGGAAGAUAAUGACGGUACUCAACAAGGAAGUGACGGCUAACUACGUGCCAGCAGCCGCGGUAAAACGUAGGUCACAAGCGUUGUCCGGAAUUACUGGGUGUAAAGGGAGCGCAGGCGGGAAGACAAGUUGGAAGUGAAAUCUAUGGGCUCAACCCAUAAACUGCUUUCAAAACUGUUUUUCUUGAGUAGUGCAGAGGUAGGCGGAAUUCCCGGUGUAGCGGUGGAAUGCGUAGAUAUCGGGAGGAACACCAGUGGCGAAGGC
rnacentral:rRNA from 1 species